rnacentral:rRNA from 1 species
UCCUACGGGGCGCAGCAGUGGGGAAUAUUGCACAAUGGGCGCAAGCCUGAUGCAGCGACGCCGCGUGAGCGAAGAAGUAUUUCGGUAUGUAAAGCUCUAUCAGCAGGGAAGAAAAUGACGGUACCUGACUAAGAAGCUCCGGCUAAAUACGUGCCAGCAGCCGCGGUAAUACGUAUGGAGCAAGCGUUAUCCGGAAUUACUGGGUGUAAAGGGAGCGUAGACGGAGAAGCGAGUCUGAAGUGAAAGCCCGUGGCUUAACCACGGGACUGCUUUGGAAACUGUUUGACUAGAGUGCUGGAGAGGUA